rfam:Subdoligranulum variabile DSM 15176 genomic scaffold Scfld0, whole genome shotgun sequence.
GGGGGUAUAGCUCAGUUGGGAGAGCACCUGCUUUGCAAGCAGGGGGUCAAGGGUUCGAAUCCCUUUAUCUCCA